CUCGCCUACACGAAGUUGGAAUUGCUAGUAAUCGUGGAUCAGCAUGCCACGGUGAAUACGUUCCCGGGUCUUGUACACACCGCCCGUCACACCAUGGGAGUCGGAAAUGCCCGAAGUCAGUGACCCAACCGUAAGGAGGGAGCUGCCGAAGGUGGAGCCGGUAACUGGGGUGAAGUCGUAACAAGGUAAC
rnacentral:rRNA from 1 species